rnacentral:rRNA from 1 species
UACGUAGGGUGCGAGCGUUAAUCGGAAUUACUGGGCGUAAAGCGUGCGCAGGCGGUUUUGUAAGUCAGAUGUGAAAUCCCCGGGCUUAACCUGGGAACUGCGUUUGAAACUACAAGGCUAGAGUGUGGCAGAGGGGGGUGGAAUUCCACGUGUAGCAGUGAAAUGCGUAGAGAUGUGGAGGAACACCGAUGGCGAAGGCAGCGCCGUGGGUUAACACUGACGCUCAGGCACGAAAGCGUGGGGAGCAAACAGG